AGCUGUAGAUAGAUGCUCAUAUAUGUGAUAGAUGCUAAGGUGUGAAUACAGACAGAUGUUA
rnacentral:sRNA from 1 species